UUAUCCUCAUAAGUUUGAUGAUAAGAGGAACCAUGUAUAUUUUUAUAGUAUAUAUGGUGGCACAGAAUCGGAGGCCCCGACUGUUUACUAAAAACACAAUUCAGAGCAAUGAUAAAUAUCAUAGUAUUCUGGAUGAAAUUUGCUCAAUGCCAUUAACAUAAGAGAGGUAAUAGAUAAUGUUACCGAUUGAAAGUCUGGUCAAUAGCGGUCUUAACUAUGAGGAUCCUAAGGUAGCAAAAUCAGUUGGCCAUUAAAUGUGGUCCGGUAUCAAUAGUGUAACGAUGGUCUCACUGUCUCUACAACUUGCUCAGUGAAAUUGAAUUACCCGUGCAGAUGCGGGUUACCUCCAGGUGGACGGGAAGACCCUAUGCAGCUU
rnacentral:rRNA from 1 species